CCUGAAGCCGUUGACGGCCGCGGACGAGCAUGGCUGCUCUACAUCCGGGGUUUCGCCGUCACUUCAUUUUGCUCAAAGGGUCCUGUGCAGCAACGGGGACGCCAUUGAGUGUCGUUGGCGUGUCGACCACUUCCCAGGUUCUAGCAGAUUGUUGGUGGAGACCGCUACAGCAGGCUCGUGCAGACUGGUGGUGUUGGUGGGGACCGCUACAGCCAUCGGAAGGGAUUUGGCAGGAGGUGGAGCCUUCUUUGCUUGACUUUUACUGCCAAGGGCUUCUGAUGUCCUGGCCCGGAACAGCUGCUCAACGUGCUGCAGUAAAGAGAAUACAUCCGCAGAUGGCUGGUGAAGUGCGCCCUCUCUGUACUCCUUCAUCUGCAGCAGUGUGGCGUUGUCCGGUACAGCGUCGUCACUGUUCCUUAAGGCAGGCUUACAGGCCGAACACAAAGAGCCGCCUAGUACACCCUUGAUGACGUAUCCGGCCAGAUGGUAUAGCACACAGGACUCCGCUUUUGUGAGUGCAUUUGGUGGAUGGGUGGCUGGUGGUGGUGGUGUGUCUACCAAGUGCUAGAAUCAUAGCUGUCAUCUGUUGUAAUUAUUCACUUGGUCAUAAUGAUACCACAGAUUCAUUGAAAAUCACUUCUUUCAAUCAGCAGUGACUGGCUGUGAAAUAUUUAACCGUCCAGAUCCAGUUCAACAUUUGACUAAUAUCACUGUUUUUGUCUUUUGUAUUCCCAUUGAGUUGUGUUACAGGUGGAAAUGAUUCUGCUCCUACUGCAUGAGACUGCUGCUGUUGAUGGGGAAGUGCUUUUGCCAGAAAUGGCUUAGUUGCAGGUGGUGGCUUUCUUGAGUUGCACUGAUAAGGUAACCUAACUAACCUUUUGAGGACCCUUACAGUAAGUAAUAUUAUAUCUGUGUCUAACAUUUUGUAUUUCCGGUGAUUGAGGUCUUUAGCUGCAAAAUGUAUAGGACUUUGGUCAGACUAGUAGGGCCGGAUAUAUGUGCACAGCAACAUAGUUGUCUUUUUUUUGUUUCUAUACGCCAUCCCAAUGGAAUUCAAAUGAAACUACGGUAACAAGAGAAUAAAAGUGCCUUUCAAAACAUUCAAGGAUCAGAGAGAAGUAAUAAUAAAACGAAGACACAUUAACACAUUUUUAACAAAAAUAAAACGGUAGUUAAAAAGUCCUAAGGAAUAGGCUAACUGAAACAAAUGAGUUUUUAGUCUGCAUUUGAACUUGGGUAAUAAGUCAGGGGGCAGUGCAUUCCAGAGCUGAGGAGCAGAGCAACUGAAAAGCUCUAUUCCCCAUGGUACUGAGAUGGGCAGAGGGACAGAGAGGAGGAUGGUCGAGGACAAACCGAGGUAGCGAGAGGGAAUGGCAAGGCAAGAUUGUUGCAAGAUUGUGAAUGGCCUGGAAGGUGUGCAGGACAGGAGUAUUUUAAGAAGCACAGGGUAUUGAGCACUCAGAGACAUAGCCAAGGUAAGAAUGGAAGACGCCGAACAACCAUUCAACAAGUUAAUUGAGUCAAGACUGGGUCAUGAAAUACCAGAGGACAGUUUUCAAAGGUAUGGACUAGUGAAAGUGACUGUUGACAGACAGGGUGUCAAGACAAUGGUAUUUGUGUCGUAUUCGUGGGUAAGCGGUUAGGGUGUCAGACUUGUAGCCCAAAGGAUGCUGGUUCGACUCCGACCCGCCAGGUUGGUGCGGGGAGUAAUUAACCAGUGCUCUCCCCCAUCCUCCUCCCUGACUGAGGUACCCUGAUCAUGGUACCGUCCCGCCACACUGCGCCAUUGGGGACUGCCCCCUUGCAUGGAUGAGGCAGAAAUGCAAUUUUCUAGUGUGCAGUGUUCACUUGAAUUUUGUGGAGUACUGUGUCACAGUGAAUUUAAAUGUAUUACUUUAAUAAAUGUUAAUGACAAGUAGGAAUGGGCAGCAUAGUGGCAAUGCCUAGUCUUGCCACCCUUGUAAGAUCAGAUAACUAACUUUUAGUGUCUGUUUUCACCCUUGUAAGAUCAGAUAACUAACUUUUAGUGUCUGUUUUCACAGAAAUUUGUCUAGCGUGACACUUCUCCACAAUCCACAUGUAAACAGGCAUUUAAAAACAAUAUGGCCAUUGGUCUUGUCCUCUAGGUCCUCUAGGCCCAAGCUGUUAGGGCAGCACAGUACAAUAAAUUAAGUUGCCAAAAAAAAAACUUAAAAUAUUCCUCUGUGGUAUUAAAAAAAAUAUGCUUUCCAUGUAGAUGUGUGCAUUCUACUGUUCUCCACUUCUGUGAAGCAAUACUAUAGGAUGAGGGUGAAAAUGGUGUU